rnacentral:rRNA from 1 species
UACGAAGGGGGCUAGCGUUGCUCGGAAUCACUGGGCGUAAAGCGCACGUAGGCGGCUUAUUAAGUCAGGGGUGAAAUCCUGGAGCUCAACUCCAGAACUGCCUUUGAUACUGAUGAGCUUGAGUUCGGGAGAGGUGAGUGGAACUGCGAGUGUAGAGGUGAAAUUCGUAGAUAUUCGCAAGAACACCAGUGGCGAAGGCGGCUCACUGGCCCGAUACUGACGCUGAGGUGCGAAAGCUAGGGGAGCAAACGGG